GCCAAUCCUCUUCCUCCGUUGGGUUUCGUCUGCUCUGUGGAGACAGCGGUGCCCAGCGCGGGCCGCUCUAGCUGGGACCUCUAUGGUCUUGGCCCUGGGCAUUGCCGGAGGCAUUCUGCACAGGCCUCCUAGGAGCAGCUGGUACUAGCCCGGAGCAGGGCCCAGGGAGACCUGCCAGGCUGUGGCCCUUGAGGGGGCAUUCCCAGAGUGCCCUAACUUGACCUGAGCAAAUGACCUGAGAAAAUAUUUUUUUGCAUUGCACUGGAGUUGGCCUGGCACAUGCUGUGCCUCGUACUCAAAACAAGGCCGGAGCCCCAGCCUGCCAUGUCCUGCUAGAGCUGACAUUCAUCCCGCUGUCGUAGCUGGUGUUUCAUCUGUGCUACCCGACAGCCUGAACUUGCUCGGAUUGACGUCGUGUUGCGGGAUCUGCAGGUCACCUUGGAGAGGAACUGGGUCACCAGGGGACCCAGAGGCUGUUCAAGCCACUGGGUCGGGGAUUAAACUGAUCCCCCCACUGUCAUGGUGCUUCCGCUUGGCCGCUUACGGGCUCGGAUCAAGCGUAGGCUCGCUGCCCUGGUCUGGUGCCCGAUUCGAAAUGGAUUUAUGUGGGGCUGUGCGAAAUUUCACCACCAGUUUUGUUUCAACACUGUUUUGGCCCGUUUCGAGGUCCAAACAGCAAAAUCGAAAUGGAACAGAUAUGGUCGAAACAGCCGCAAACAAAAACGAGACAGGAACAAAGAUAAGAUGCCCUGCCUUGGAUGAGAUACAAUCUAGACAAGCAAAAGCAGAAAUGAAGAAUGAGAAGGGAUGCAACAUGACAUCAAAGCAACUGAGCAAAUAUUUUCCAGUGUUUCAUCCUAAAUUGGACAAGGAUCCUCUUGAGCUGGUGGUCAUAGAAACACACAGGAAGAUAAGGUUCCUGUACCAAAGAAUUUAAAAAACAGUGACCUGGUUAUCAAAUCUGUGGUUCAGUCAGCUGAGCUGUGAUGUAGGAUGUGGGCCUCCCUGCCAGGUGACUGGGCAGCUUCAUUCCAUCUUUAAAAUGCUUUGUGAUAAAAGUUGGAUCAGCAUCUGGCUGGGAUCAUCUGACCCUAGUGCUCUUUCCUGCCUAGGCAGGGGGUUGGACUCAAUGAUCUGUUGAGGUCCCUCCCGACCCUAACAUCUGUGAAUCUAUGCUGCUCUUAUAUAAACUGUUAUUAUAUGACUCAGUAGGAUUUAGAUGGGAACUAGUGAUUUAAAAUAAGCUUCAGGUGUAAUUAAUGAUCCUCUAAGCCAUUUUAUCAUCAAAACAUUCUUAUACUGUAAGAGUUGCCAAACGUGCCAAUAUACUCCUUGUAAUUCAGUGAAACCAAAUGUAAAUUAGAGGAUUAUAGGGAUUGAAUGGGGUGUUGUAUAGCAACCAGUCCUUAAACUGGGGCUAUGUGGGACUUAAGUGGUGCUUAUUAUAUAGAUUUUGUGAUGUACCAGUGCAGGGUUGAGCUUCAGCACCAUUGAGUAACUCAGAUAUAAUUCCAUUUUUGGAGUUACACAGCUGCUUCCUAAUGGCCAAGCAUUAGCAGUUGGUUAGAUAGCCUAAGAUGUCCAAUGACUUUGAGUUUCAGGAGGUCUAGUUGCCAAAGACAGUAUUUAUAUUCACAAAUACCAUAUUUGGCUUGGUAUUGAAAGGAUACUGGCAAGUUUUACUAACAGGUUUGAGUACUUACCUUAACUUGUACAGAGUUGGCAGCACUGUGAAUAGAGAGGGACGUCAGCUCAACAUUUGGUUUGGUUUUAAAAAAACUAAGCAAGCAAAAAAAAAAAGAACAAACCCCAAAAUCCUGAAGUCAUGGAAGGGGAGGGUAAAAAAAAAAACUUGCAGAAGUAGGUCAGAGUAGAGAGCAGCUUACUAGUUUACCCAAACUUCUGAAAUUACAGUGAAUAAAAAUGUCUUUAUAACGUUCUCUCA
ensembl:lncRNA